rnacentral:rRNA from 1 species
GGGAUAACACUUAGAAAUAGGUGCUAAUACCGCAUAAGCGCACGGUCCUGCAUGGGACAGUGUGAAAAACUCCGGUGGUGCAAGAUGGACCCGCGUCUGAUUAGCUGGUUGGCGGGGUAAAGGCCCACCAAGGCGACGAUCAGUAGCCGGCCUGAGAGGGUGGACGGCCACAUUGGGACUGAGACACGGCCCAAACUCCUACGGGAGGCAGCAGUGGGGGAUAUUGGACAAUGGGGGGAACCCUGAUCCAGCGACGCCGCGUGAGUGAAGAAGUAUUUCGGUAUGUAAAGCUCUGUCAGCAGGGAAGAAAGCAAUGACGGUACCUGACCAAGAAGCCCCGGCUAACUACGUGCCAGCAGCCGCGGUAAUACGUAGGGGGCAAGCGCUAUCCGGAAUUACUGGGUGUAAAGGGAGCGUAGACGGCUGUGCAAGUCUGGAGUGAAAGGCGGGGGCCCAACCCCCGGACUGCUCUGGAAACUGUAUGGCUGGAGUGCAGGAGAGGUAAGCGGAAUUCCUAGUGUAGCGGUGAAAUGCGUAGAUAUUAGGAGGAACACCAGUGGCGAAGGCGGCUUACUGGACUGUAACUGACGUUGAGGCUCGAAAGCGUGGGGAGCAAACAGGAUUAGAUACCCUGGUAGUCCACGCCGUAAACGAUGAUUACUAGGUGUCGGUGGGUAUGGACCCAUCGGUGCCGCAG